AGGCCAAUCAAACCCGGAGAUAUCUCGUUCUCCCCGAAAUAGCUUUAGGGCUAGCGUCGCGCGUUCACCGCCGGAGGUAGAGCACCGGAUGGACGAGGGGGCUUCGCCGCCUACCGAAUCCAACCGAACUCCGAAUGCCGGCGGCCCAGAGCGCGGCAGUCAGAGCAUGUGGGCUAAGCUGUGUGCUCGAGAGGGAAACAGCCCGGACCGCCCGCUAAGGUCCCCAAGUUCCAGCCGAGUGGCAAAGGAUGUGCGUCCGCCCAGACAACCAGGAUGUUGGCUUAGAAGCAGCCAUCCAUUCAAAGAGUGCGUAACAGCUCACUGGUCGAGUGGACAUGCGCCGACAAUACACGGGGCUAAGCUGGACACCGAAGCGGCGGGAUUUUGAUUUUCAGAAUCGGUAGGGGAGCUUCCCAUGGGCGGGGAAGCCGCCGGGCGACCGGCGGUGGAGCGCAUGGGAGUGAGAAUGCUGGCAUGAGUAGCGAGAGACGAGAGAGUAACUCGUCCGCCGUGAACCCGAGGUUUCCUGGGCAAGGCUAAUCCUCCCAGGGUCAGUCGGGGGCUAAGGCGAGGCCGGAAGGCGUAGCCGACGCGCAGCAGGCAGACAUUCCUGCACCGCGCACGCGGCGCUACGACCGACGGGGCGACGGAUGGGGGUGGCUCGGCGGGGUUCUGGACGUCCCCGUGAUGGAGCGCGGCCCGCGGACCAGGGAAAUCCGGUCCGCAGAAGGGCGAGGCUCCGGACGAAGCGAUCAAGCGAAGCGAGUGAGCCCGAGGUCCCUAGAAAAACCCCUAGGCAGGCGCGUGCGCGCCCGUACCGCAAACCGACACAGGUGGGUGGGUAGAACAUACCGAGGCGAUCGGGUCAACCAUGGUCAAGGAACUCGGCACAAUGGCCCCGUAACUUCGGGAGAAGGGGUGCCCGCGCGUACGUGAACGGACUUGCUCCGGGAGCGGAGGCGGGCCGCAGUGGAGAGGCCCAAGCGACUGUUUACCAAAAACACAGGACUCUGCAGAAGCCGCAAGGCGACGUAUAGGGUCUGACGCCUGCCCGGUGCCGGAAGGUCACGCGGAGGAGUUAGCGCAUCGCGCGAAGCCCCGAAGCCAAGCCCCGGUAAACGGCGGCCGUAACUAUAACGGUCCUAAGGUAGCGAAAUUCCUUGUCGGGUAAGUUCCGACCUGCACGAAAGGCGCAACGACUUGGGCGCUGUCUCGACCAUGGACCCGGUGAAAUUGCACUGGUCGUGAAGAUGCGACUUACCCGCGGAAGGACGGAAAGACCCCGUGAACCUUCACUGCAGCUUGGCAUUGGCCGCUGGUCCCGCGUGUAGAGGAUAGGCAGGAGGCACAGAUCCGGAGGCGCCAGCCCCCGGGGAGCCGCCCUUGGAAUACUGCCCUCGCGCGACCGGCGUCCUAACCCGAGGCCGUCAACCGGCUCGGGGACCGUGCCAGGCGGGCAGUUUGACUGGGGCGGUCGCCUCCUAAAGGGUAACGGAGGCGCGCGAAGGUCCGCUCGGGACGGUCGGCAACCGUCCUUUUGAAUGCAAGAGUACAAGCGGGCUUGACUGCGAGGCCCACAAGCCGAGCAGGUGCGAAAGCAGGCUCUAGUGAUCCGGCGGCCCCGAGUGGGUGGGCCGUCGCUCAACGGAUAAAAGGUACUCCGGGGAUAACAGGCUGAUCUUGCCCAAGAGUCCACAUCGACGGCAAGGUUUGGCACCUCGAUGUCGGCUCAUCGCAUCCUGGGGCUGGAGCAGGUCCCAAGGGUACGGCUGUUCGCCGUUUAAAGCGGUACGCGAGCUGGGUUCAGAACGUCGUGAGACAGUUCGGUCCCUAUCCUCCGUGGGCGCAGGAGAAUCGAUGGAGGCUGCCCCCAGUACGAGAGGACCGGGGUGGACGCACCUCCGGUGAACCGGUUGUCGACCAACGGCACGGCCGGGUAGCCGCGUGCGGCGCGGAUAACCGCUGAAGGCAUCUAAGCGGGAAGCCGUUCCAGGGAUUAGUUCUCCUUCCGGUAAGGGCCCAGGUAGACUACCUGGUCGAUAGACGGCAGGUGCAAGGCUGGCGACAGCCUCAGCCGAGCCGCACUAAUCGCCCGAGCUCUUCCGGAA
rnacentral:rRNA from 1 species